rnacentral:rRNA from 2 species
UGAGUUUACGCUCUACAACCCUUUGUGAACAUACCUAUAACUGUUGCUUCGGCGGGUAGGGUCUCCGUGACCCUCCCGGCCUCCCGCCCCCGGGCGGGUCGGCGCCCGCCGGAGGAUAACCAAACUCUGAUUUAACGACGUUUCUUCUGAGUGGUACAAGCAAAUAAUCAAAACUUUUAACAACGGAUCUCUUGGUUCUGGCAUCGAUGAAGAACGCAGCGAAAUGCGAUAAGUAAUGUGAAUUGCAGAAUUCAGUGAAUCAUCGAAUCUUUGAACGCACAUUGCGCCCGCCAGCAUUCUGGCGGGCAUGCCUGUUCGAGCGUCAUUUCAACCCUCAAGCUCUGCUUGGUGUUGGGGCCCUACAGCUGAUGUAGGCCCUCAAAGGUAGUGGCGGACCCUCCCGGAGCCUCCUUUGCGUAGUAACUUUACGUCUCGCACUGGGAUCCGGAGGGACUCUUGCCGUAAAACCCCCCAAUUUUCCAAAGGUUGACCUCGGAUCAGGUAGGAAUACCCGCUGAACUUAAGCAUAUCAAUAAGCGGAGGAAAAGAAACCAACAGGGAUUGCCUCAGUAACGGCGAGUGAAGCGGCAACAGCUCAAAUUUGAAAUCUGGCCCUAGGCCCGAGUUGUAAUUUGCAGAGGAUGCUUUUGGUGCGGUGCCUUCCAAGUUCCCUAGAACGGGACGCCAGAGAGGGUGAGAGCCCCGUACAGUUGGACACCAAGCCUUUGUAAAGCUCCUUCGACGAGUCGAGUAGUUUGGGAAUGCUGCUCAAAAUGGGAGGUAUAUUUCUUCUAAAGCUAAAUACCGGCCAGAGACCGAUAGCGCACAAGUAGAGUGAUCGAAAGAUGAAAAGCACUUUGAAAAGAGGGUUAAACAGCACGUGAAAUUGUUAAAAGGGAAGCGCUUGUGACCAGACUUGCGUCCGGUGAAUCACCCAGCUCUCGCGGCUGGGGCACUUCGCCGGCUCAGGCCAGCAUCAGCUCGCUGUCGGGGACAAAAGCUUCAGGAACGUAGCUCUCUUCGGGGAGUGUUAUAGCCUGUUGCAUAAUACCCUUCGGCGGGCUGAGGUACGCG